rnacentral:rRNA from 1 species
GAUGAACGCUGGCGGCGUGCCUAAUACAUGCAAGUCGAGCGAAUGGAUUAAGAGCUUGCUCUUAUGAAGUUAGCGGCGGACGGGUGAGUAACACGUGGGUAACCUGCCCAUAAGACUGGGAUAACUCCGGGAAACCGGGGCUAAUACCGGAUAACAUUUUGAACCGCAUGGUUCGAAAUUGAAAGGCGGCUUCGGCUGUCACUUAUGGAUGGACCCGCGUCGCAUUAGCUAGUUGGUGAGGUAACGGCUCACCAAGGCAACGAUGCGUAGCCGACCGGAGAGGGUGCUCGGCCACACUGGGACUGAGACACGGCCCAGAUUCCUACGGGAGGCAGCAGUAGGGGAUCUUCGUCAAUGGACGAAAGUCUGACGGAGCAACGCCGCGUGAGUGAUGACGGCUUUCGGGUCGUAAAACUCUGUUGUUAGGGAAGAACAAGUGCUUGUUGAAUAAGCUGACACCUUGACGGUACCUAACCAGAAAGCCACGGCUAACUACGUGCCAGCCGCCGCAGUAA